GAUGGUCUAGGAGAGCUAGAGUGGUAGUGGCUAACUUGGAAAGAACAGCAAAAGGAAAUUGGGGAACUGUCAAAUCUAUCAGAACAUGGAAACGCCUUGAUGAUAAACAUCUCACAGCCAUUGACAGUCAAGUUCUUUGGAGCAAGAGCUCUGUUGGUGGCGUUGAUCUAAAUCUUUGAGAAGUGAAUAGAAUAAGAUCUGCUCUACUAAGAGAAUCGUAGCACGUGCGCAUCCCAAUUGACAAAG
rnacentral:misc_RNA from 1 species